rnacentral:rRNA from 1 species
GACGGAGGGUGCUAGCGUUGUUCGGAAUCACUGGGCGUAAAGGGCGCGUAGGCGGCCUCAGGUGUCGGAUGUGAAAGCCCGGGGCUCAACCCCGGAGGUGCAUCCGAAACUCUGGGGCUGGAGGUCGGAAGAGGAGGGUGGAAUACCCAGUGUAGAGGUGAAAUUCGUAGAUAUUGGGUGGAACACCGGUGGCGAAAGCAGCUCUCUGGUCCGGACCUGACGCUGAGGCGCGAAAGCGUGGGGAGCAAACAGG